AUUGAACGCUGGCGGCAUGCCUUACACAUGCAAGUCGAACGGCAGCACGGGAGCAAUCCUGGUGGCGAGUGGCGAACGGGUGAGUAAUAUAUCGGAACGUGCCCAGUCGUGGGGAUAACGUAGCGAAAGCUACGCUAAUACCGCAUACGAUCUAUGGAUGAAAGCGGGGGAUCGCAAGACCUCGCGCGAUUGGAGCGGCCGAUAUCAGAUUAGGUAGUUGGUGAGGUAAAGGCUCACCAAGCCGACGAUCUGUAGCUGGUCUGAGAGGACGACCAGCCACACUGGGACUGAGACACGGCCCAGACUCCUACGGGAGGCAGCAGUGGGGAAUUUUGGACAAUGGGCGCAAGCCUGAUCCAGCAAUGCCGCGUGCAGGAUGAAGGCCUCGGUUGUAACUGCUUUUGUACGGUAACGAAACGGUGAGCGUCUAAUA
rnacentral:rRNA from 1 species